UGCAGUGUAGCUUAACUAGCAAAGCACCUGGUUAAUACCCUGGUUGAUGUGGGUGCAACUCCCACCACUGCCACCA
rnacentral:tRNA from 1 species